rnacentral:tRNA from 1 species
CAGGAAGGAUCCAAGAACUGCUA